GUGCCAUCAGUUCGUCCUCUCCCACCUCCACCUGGACUAGCCUUGAAUCUUCCUUCCUUACCUAUGAAUGCACACUAUUCUACUCCAAUUAGCGGUGGGCUUCCUAUACCCCCACCACAGCCGCCUGUUAUCUCAAUGAUUCCAUCUGUUCAGCCACCACCUCCUGCCAUGCCUGGACAACAAUCAUUUUUCAUGAAUCGGCCCCCUUCUAUGCCUCCACCAAUGUCUAUGAAUGCACCAAAUAUGAGUGUCCCACCACCACCAGGAUCUCAGUUUACUCACAUGCCAGUUCCACGGCCUUUUGUUCCUCUUCCUGCCCCUCCACCUAUGAAUACUAUGAUACCGCCUCCACCUAUGCCACAAGGGGUUCCUCCACCACCUAUGCCCCAAGGAUCGA
rnacentral:misc_RNA from 1 species